ACAGGUUUCACUCUCUACAUCACACUCAAUUUCGGACCAAUUACUCCCUUUUCUGUCCAUUCUAUGAUUAUGUCUAUGGCACCGUGGACAAGUCGACAGAUUCCUUGUAUGAAACCACGAUCAAAAGAGAGGCAGAGUCACCUGACGUGGUUCAUCUAACUCAUCUAACCACGCCAGACUCCAUCUACCAUCUGCCCCUUGGGUUCCCUUCAUUGUCCUCCAAGCCCCAAGCUUCCAAAUGGUACCUCCUGUUUAUGUGGCCUGUCACUCUCUGGUCUGUGCUCUUGACUUGGAUUUAUGGCCAUGCCUUUAUUUCAGAGAGGAACGCCUUUAAAAAACUCAAACUUCAAGCUUGGGUUGUUCCCAAGUACAAUAUGCAAGUAAGAAAUUAACAUGUUUCCAUCUUGGCGUCCGAUUCUUCAGAGUGUUACCUAAUUAUAAUUUAAUCUGCAUAUGUUUUUUUUUCCUGUAGUAUUUCUCAAAAUGGCAAAGAGAAACUAUCAGUAAAUUGAUUGGAGAAGCCAUUCAAGAUGCAGAUAAGAAGGGAGCUAAGGUGCUGAGUUUAGGCCUUCUGAAUCAGGUAUGUUUAAUUGUUAAUGCAGCCUUUAAAAUUUCACUGCCUACAUAUUUCUAAUUCAAAAAUUAUGUUUAAUUUAUUACAAACUUCUCAAGUUUACUGUAUGUAUAUAUAUAUAUAUAUAUGUAUAUAUAUAUAUAUAUGUAUAUAUAUAUAUGUGUACACGUGUGUGUGUGUAUGUGUGCAGCAUGAGGAGUUUAGCAGAAAUAUAGAGCUUUAUAUCAAAAGGCACCCUCAGCUUAAAAUCAAGGUUGUAGAUGGAAGCAGUUUAGCAGCAGCUAUUGUUCUAAACUGCAUUCCUAAAGAAACAACCCAAGUACUCCUUAAAGGCAGAAUUUCAAAGGAUGCUUGUCUCUUGGUUCAAGCUUUAUGCCAAAAGGGUAUCCAGGUAAACUUCAAAUAAUCCCUUGGAAAACUAUAGGAUCAUAGCAUUAAAUUAAGGGAUUUAAAGAGUUUAUACUUCAAUUUAUAAUGAGCAGGUGGUCACAUUGCAAGAGGAUGAUUACAAGAAGCUGCUAAAGUAUGAUAACAAGCUUGAAAGCAAUUUGGUUCUUUCAGCAAGAUAUGAUGUCAAGGUAAAAUCUCUUUGGUUUAUGAUUGUAUCUUCCUAUAUAAUGUUUACAUGCUGAUUGUUUUAAUCGUUGAUAUAUUUUUGCAGGUAUGGCUGGUGGGAGACGGACUGACUGAUAAAGAACAGUCCAAGGCACCAAAAGGAACAUUAUUCAUUCCAUUUUCCAUAUUCCCUCCAAAUCAAAUCCGCAAAGAUUGCUACUAUCAUACUACACCGGCUAUGGAGGCUCCCAAAUCUGUGGAGAACAUGCACUCUUGUGAGGUUGGUAAUUACUUAUUUGACCAAAAUUUUCUUAUCCAAGUGGAAUUUAAAAAAUUUGAUUCCCAAAGGAUGGGAUGUGCUUUGAAUACUGCAUUUGCACUUUUUUUCUUCAUUACUUGUAUCAUUGCACUACAGAGUCAAGAAAUGAAUUUGUGGGAGAUGAACUGAAUCAGUAUGGUCCAUGGAGACCAUUCUUUUUAUUUUAGUUGUAUAAUAUGUUAAAAAUUCAACAAAAAAUAAAUUGAAACAGGACUGGUUGCCGAGAAGGGUUAUGAGUGCAAGUCGUGUGGCUGGGAUAAUUCAUGCUUCAGAAGGCUGGGAAGUCAACGAGUGCGGUGGCACCACUUUCAGCAUUGACAAAGUUUGGGAGGCUAGUCUUGAGCAUGGAUUUCGCCCCUUGUCAAUCUCCACUUGAUCGAAACUCUAGGUUUCGGUAUUAGCCUAUGAGUAAUCAUAUAGUAAUAAUAAUGUAUGCAUAUGAAUUAUCAUCUUCGUUGUAUCUUGCGAUGUUCUGACAGGUUGACUUCCAUGUGAAUGGGAAUAAUUUGCCUUGUAUUUGCCUAGAUGUUUCUUUUCCUUUCUCUGGUAGACUGUAGGAUUUGGGUGCCUAAGAAUUGAUCAAAAUAUAAUUUGAAGUUUAACACUAAAAAUAACAAACAUACUAAGUACAUCUUCUGGAUAUGAUAUGUUAAAUAGAGGGUUCUUCACCAAGCAAAACUUGCCUGAACAUUGCUUCACAUGAUGCAUAAAAUAGAAAAAGAGGGCCACCAAAAGUCUAUGAGUGGCACUAUUAGAGAUGCAGCAGCUAACCUGCAAGCGAAUUUAAGGCCUGAAAAAGCAAAAGCCAUGAACAUGCCUAUGUGGUAUGUAUUUAAGGCAUGACCAGAUGGCAUAAGUCCCCAAGGAGAGCCCAAUCACGUAAAACUUUUGUCCUAGUUGAAACUGAUCAGCAAGUUCUUGGAUGUCAAGUGCCUCACCCUUCACCAUACUGUUUGGGUUUGAAUCACUCUCUCCAUAUCCAGCUCUGUCAUAUAUCAGAACGUAUACACCCAGUUCAUCCAUCACCUCCUACAUGCCAAAACCAGCUAUGACGAUCUGCAGCAUCUUUAUGACUAGUUCUAGCUAGACAUAGUUAUAUUAUAGCAAAUAUCAAACAUAUAUUCAACCCAUGCUUGUAAAAUUUUCUAAAAGCUUCGACUAAUUUUCAUAUAAGUGCAAUUAAGUGAUAGAAACUUGACCUGUAAAACAAUUGCAGAUUGGAAUUUGGAAAUCAUGUCCUUAGCCAUAAAUUAAUGUGGUCUAGCUAGAACGCGAAUUGAACUGGUUCGAUCAUGGUAUGUAUUUGUGUCAACUUUGCAUGCUUUCUUUGUUCCUACAAACUAACUAGGAACAAAAAGUCACAACUCACUAGACAAAACUGGGAGACCACUUGUCUAAUAGCCUGUGUAACAUCCCAUCCUUGGGAUGUUAAUUAAAAGAAAACGUUAUUUGAAAUUUAAGAAGAAUUGUGGUUAUUGAUGAUGAGAAAAGUCAUGUGGGAGUGGAGAAAUUAAAAUAGUAUUUUUAUAAUAAAAUAAUAUUAAAAUAAAGAUGAUGGCUGAAUAAAAGAAUAAAACAUUAUUGGCCGAUUUCAUGGAGUUAGAUUUAGCCCAAGUGGGAGAGAGAGAAAAAUUUUAAGGAAAUGUAGCAUGGUGGGGCCCACAUGUUAUUAUAAAAAAAUAAAGCAUAAAUGUGUAUUAAUAUAUUUAAAUAUUAUUGUGAUAUAUUGGUGAUAUACAAAAUGAAUAUUUUGCAAGUACAUGGGUAAAGGAACAAUAAUAGAAGAUAGAUAAAGCCAAAAGAAUGGUUGAAACAAAAUGUUGACGGGUAGAAUUUUUAAUUAGCAAAAAGUUAGAAGAUCAGAUUAUAAUAUAUGAAAAGUUUGAAAGAUUAAAUUAUAAAAGAGAAAAAGUUUGGAGGGUUAAACAGAGAAUAAAAAAAAGUUAGAGAACUUAUUGGCAAUUAAUCUAUCCUUAAAUUAUAUUAAAAACAAAUACGUAUGUAGAAGAUGUUAAGGAUUAAAUGGGCGGUCAACACAAAGUUGACCACCCAUGCANGAAAAAUAAUAGAAGACAGAUAAAGCCAAAAGAAUGGUCGAAACAAAAAGUUAACGGGUUGAAUUUUUAAUUAGCAAAAAGUUAGAAGAUCAGAUUAUAAUAUAUGAAAAGUUUGAAAGAUUAAAUUAUAAAAGAGAAAAAGUUUGGAGGGUUAAACAGAGAAUAAAAAAAAGUUAGAGAACUUAUUGGCAAUUAAUCUAUCCUUAAAUUAUAUUAAAAACAAAUACGUAUGUAGAAGAUGUUAAGGAUUAAAUGGGCGGUCAACACAAAGUUGACCACCCAUGCAACAACCAAAGGAGAAAGAAAUAAAAGGAACAAAAUUACACCAAUGAGGAGGGGGGACAAAGCAAUGUUGUCCUCCUAUGCAAAGGAAAUGAUUUGCAAAACAAAAAAAAAAAAAAAAAAAAAAACAGAGGAUUGAAUUGAAAGGAACUAAGCUUGGGGAAUCGCCCAUUCUUUGGAGCUUAGACAUUCUGCCCCCUCUUUUCCUGGAAAGCCCGAGAACUCCAAAGAAAUUCUCUCAAGAUUUUUUCUAUCGUUCCUACUUUCCAAAGAGAGCUAAAGAUACAAAAAAUCUAGCCACUCAAGCUUCCAUUAUCCUCAUUAUUUGAGUGAACCCGAGGGCUCCUAUGGAAAUCUUUCAAGUUGGUUUUAAAGGUGAUCCAUGUAAUAUAUAGUAGAGAUUCCUAUUGGUUCCUUGCAACCCGUGGCUACCUACUUAUUUUGAAGGGAUCAAGGCCCCACAAAUGGAAGCUAGGAGCUGGGAGUUUGAUGUGUAGGCAAGGAAAUUACGAGUUAAUCUUUAAAGAUUUAAGUUUAAGAAAUUUAUAGCUUUUGAACUCAUUGUGGCAGAUUUGGUGAUGUGGGUGAAGUAGUGUUGAAAAUCAAGAAUUUGGAUGAGUUAAGCUGUCAAUGAGGUAAGGUGCUAGAAACUAAUGGUUAAUUGCUCACCCAAAUUAGCUACGGUUUAUAAAAAAAAAAAAAAUUGAGCCUGUUCAAUUAAUUAAAUGUGCCUAGUUGUAAGGGAUUAUAAGAGGAAGAAGUUGCUGAAAAUGUUUCCAAACCGUGGCUUAGUACCAAAGGCAGAUUGGUGAAGUUCGAAGAUAAGGAAAUAAAUUGGAAUUUGAAAUUAGAUUACCAUUUUAACUGCUGGUCACAUGUAUAAGUAGAUAGUCUUAGAAAAUAUAUUAAGUAAAUAUAAAUUGUUGAUGACUAGGAGAUUGAUUGAGCUGGUGCUUAGUUUCUAAGCAAAGUUAGUGAAGAAGGAAUUAUAUUGAAAACUUUGACUAACCCGAGGCUUAAGCUUUGAUGGAUGUGGAAAAUUAAUAUAAAAAAAGCCAGAAUUAAUGAUUGAAAUUGAGGUUUAAGUUGUUAAUAUUCUGUUGACCAAAUAAGUAGAUGUAAAAGCAUCACAAAUUUUAUUAAUUGGUGAUGACAUGUUAUUGCUAGGAAUUGGAUUGAGCAAAUCUGAUCAUUGCUAGAGAAAAAAAAAGGGUCAAGAGGAUUUGGGCCCAAUUAUUAUCUCCAGAAUCUUGAAUUCUCUCUCAUUGAAUAAUAUAAUUUAGUCCUACACCAGGAAGAAGUAAUAUGGCAACAACGAGCAAAGAUAGACUAGUUCAAAUACGAAGAUGGUAAUAGCAAGUUUUAUCACGCCAUGGUGAAGAGUAAACAGAGGAGGAAACAGAUAAAUGCUUUUAAAAGAGAAGAUAACUCUUGGUGCUCAGAUCUUUUAGAACUUUAAGGCUAGUGGUUCAUUUCUUUAUGAAUUUAUACACAUAUGAUGGGGUUAGUGAAUCAUUACUGUCAUACACAUAUUGGAGAUUGGACCUUGAAAAAUCAUCAACUUUGGCCGAUUAUGAGUGACGAAAUUAAACAUGCUCUCUUUGAUAUGCAUCCCAACAAAAGCUCGAGAUAUGAUGGAUUUCUAGCAAGCUUCUUCAAUAAAAAUUGGAGACAUAUUGGUAAUGAUCUCAUUAAAUUUGUACAAGAUGCCUAUCUCAAAGGCUCCUUUGCACCAUCCUGAAACCAUACACUUAUUACUCUUAUUCCUAAAGUGGAAGGACCUGAGAAGAUUAACCAAUUUCACCCUAUAAGUUUGUGUUCAAUACCUCUGAACCUGCUUAGCAAAAUUCUUGUCGAUUGACUACGUCCAUUACUGAAUGAGCUUAUUAGUAACACACAGAGUAGUUUUAUACCAGGGUGUCAAGCAACUGAUAAUGUUAUUGUAGUGCAAGAAGUCAUUCACACAAUGCGGGGUAUGAAGCGAAGAUAAGAAGCUGUGGCUAUCAAAAUUGACCUUGAGAAGGCUUGUGACAGACUUAAAUGGUCCUUUCUUCAAGAUUUCCUAAUAGAGAUAGGCCUUCCUCCGCAAUGGAUCUCUUUAAUUUUGUAUAUUGUCUGGACUCUUUCUUUCUCUGUUAUAUGGAAUGGCAAACAGCCUCACAAAAUUCACUCUAGCUAGAGUAGGCCUAUGACAAACUUAAAUGGUCUUUUCUUCAAGAUUUCCUAGUAGAGAUAGGCCUUCCUCCGCAAUGGAUCUCUUUAAUUUGGUAUAUUGUCUAGACUCCUUCUUUCUCUGUUAUAUGGAAUGGUAAACAGUCUAAAAAAUUCACUCCAUCUAGAGGCAUUAGCUAACGAGACCCAUUAUCUCCUUACUUAUUUGUGCUAUGCUUGGAAAAACUAUCCUUGCUUAUAAAUGAAGAAGUUAAAUUGGGCAACUAGAAACCUCUAUCCCUAAUAAGAAAUGGUCCAACUUUUUCCCAUGUGUGCUUUGCAGAUGACAUCAUGUUAUUUGGAACUAGUACCAAGACCCAAUUGCAAGUUAUGAUGCGGAUCAUUCAUAAGUUUUGCUUAGUUUCAGGCCAGAAAGUGAGUCUUGAGAAAUCUAGAAUGCUUGUUUCUUCGAAUAUCAACCCCACUAGAGCUAAAGAGUUAAGUUGAACUGCUUGCAUCAACCUCACAAAAGAUUUUGGUAAAUACUUGAGGACCCCGAUGCUUCAUGGUAGGAUUAAAAGAACUACUUAUUCUUUUUUAUGCAGUAAAGUGAAGCGAAAGCUUGAAUAGUGGAAUAAUGAGUUUCUCUCUAUGGUGGGCAGAGUUUCAUUAGUACAAGCAACCACUAUCAUAAUGGCUUCAUAUGUUAUGCAAACCAACUUAAUCCCUACUCAUGUGGCUAAGGAAAUUGACAUGUUAAAUAGGAAUUUUAUUUGGGGACACUUAAGUGGUGAGAAGAAAAUUCAUGCUAUGAAUUGGAGCACUCUUUGUCUUCUUAAAGAACUGGGUGGCUUACAAAUUAGAGAGACCAGAAAAUUUAGUUUGGCUUGGCUUGCUAAGCUUGGUUGGCAAUUGUGGAAAGGAAAGGACUCCUUAUGGGUCAAAAUUUUGCAGAAGAAAUAUUUACGGAAUAGAGAUCUAUUUUCAGUCAAAGCAAAGUCAUCUGACUCUCACAUUUAGAGUAGUAUAUUAAAAAGGAGAGAGGUCAUUGCUAAGGGUUUGAGAAUGAUUGUGAACAAUGGGCUUAACACUAAAUUCUGGCUAGAUUUUUGGUUGCCUUGUGGCCUAUUAAUUGGCUUUGCUACACGAGAUUUGUCUUUAGCUGAAAUUGAUUUACUAGUAGCAUGCUUCUGUGAUGCUUAUGGAAACUGGGAUUUAGAUUUUCUUUCUGACUCCCUACCAGCAUAUGAAACCCAAAUGAUUGUAGUAUCUUUCAUCGACCCUAGCAACACUAAGAGUGACAUUAGUUUUUGGACUUUGACAAGCAGUGGCAAUUUUUCUAUCAAAACUGCUUAUGAAAGCCAAGUUAAAACAAAUCUCAUUAAAAUGGAACAAUGGCGUCAGGUAUGGAACCUUAGGAGCUGUAGGAAAGUCAAGAUGUUCAUAUGGCGUGUGUUGCAUGAAUCUCUCCUUGCAACAGAAUGGUUGAUGACGAGAAGUCUAGGCUCAUCAAGCUUUUGUAGCAGAUGCAGUAAUACUACAAAAAAUAUCAUACAUGCCUUGAGAGAUUGCUCCUCAUCUAGAGAUAUGUGGCUGAAAAUUAAACCAGAGUUGCUCUCAAGCACUUUCUUUGCAUUAGACUUGCAACAGUGGGUCUAAGAAAAUAUGACCAGUAAUGUGCUUUAUGAUACAUUGCCAUGGGGUGUUAUCUUCACUCACACACUUUGGAUGCUCUAGUAUUGGAGGAAUUUAAGUCUAUUCGAGGAAUCUUUUUAGUGGCUGGAAAAUGCAUCUCAACAGAUAUGGGCUAAAGCCAAGGAGGCUUGGGACAGUUUGCAUUGUCAACAAGCGAGAAUAAGGUCUGAAAUUCUUGUUUCCUGGGUCAAGCGAGAUCACCCCUAUGUGAAACUGAAAGUUGAUGGCAUUGUUAAAGGCCAACCAGGGGAUGCCGUAGCAAGAGGAUUAGUUAGGGAUGGGAAUGGCAAUUGGCUAUUUGGGUUUGUUUAUAAAAUUGGCAUCUCUUUCUCACUUGGAACAGAGCUUUGGGCAAUUUUAAAGGGGCUAGAAUUGUGUUGGGAAAAAGGUUUCAUAAAGGUUUUGAUAGAAACCGACUUUAAACUUGCCUUUCAGAGGCUAUCUUAGUAGAAGUUUCAUUUGGAUCCAUGUGCAAGUAUUGUGCAGAAUAUAAAGAUGCUUAUUUAGAGAGACUGGUCCUACUCCAUAUCUCAUGUGUUGCACGAAGCCAAUAGUUGCGCUGACUAGAAGGCAACUAAACAACAUGAUCUUCCCCUAGGCCUCCAUGCGUUUGAGGUUCCUCCACCAAAUAUCUUCUCUUUAUUGUUAGUUGAUAUAUUGGGCAUAUUUUGGCCCAGACUUAUGUAAUUUGAGCUUUACUGAAUAAAUGCCUCCCUUAUUUCAAAAAAAAAAAAUGAUACAGAUAUAUGUUUAGCAAACAGUGCUACAAUGCAUACUAUAUUUAAAGACAAAAAAUAUUUUUUGCACAUAACAAUGGAAGAAACCAAUAUUAAUACAAUAUCUAGUAGUAUAACCUCUUGACUAGCUAAUAUUUUACUACCGUAGGAAUAAAGUUUAAAAUAAAAGAUGUAUUAUUUUCUAUUAAGUCUCAAAGAAAUUUAUUAAGUUUUAAAGAAUGGAUAUUAUAUUGAGACAACAAAUAAAAGAGACAUUUAAUACCUCUAUAUUAUAUCAAUUAUCUUUGAUAAGAAGUGUGUAUUGAAAAAAUUACUUGUUAUGUUCUUUAGAUUAUACUAAACAAAUAUUAGAAUUAUUGAAACUCAUGCCAUAGUAAACAAGAAAUUCACUAAUAAUUUUAAUGUUUGGCAUGACCGGUUGGGCCACUUUGGAUCAACAAUGAUACGAAAAAUUAUUACAAAUUUUUGUGGUCAUUCAUGGAAAAAUCAGAAGAUUUUUUAAUAUAAUGAAUUCUUAUGUGUUGCUUGCUCUCAAGGAAAAUUAAUUAUAAGAUCAUCGGUAACUAAAGUUGGGAUUGAAUCCCCUACACUUUUGAAACGUAUUUAGGAUGAUAUAUGUGGAUCCAUACAUCCAUCAUGUGGACUAUUUAGAUAUUUUUAUGAUUUUAAUAAUGUAUCGACUAGAUGGUCAUAUGUAUGCUUAUUAUCAACUUGUAAUUUGACAUUUGUAAGAUUACUCGCUUAAAUCAUUAGUUUGUAAGUACAUUUUCUUGAUUACGCAAUCAAGACUAUUCGUCUUGACAGUGCUGAUAAAUUUACAUAUCAAGCCUUUAAUGAAUAUUGCAUAUUAGUCGGAAUAAAGGUUGAAUAACCUUUUGUUCAUGUUCAUACACAAAAUGGUCUAAUAAAAUCAUUUAUUAAACACUUUUAAUUGAUUGAAAGGCCAUUGCUUAUGAAAACCAAACUCUUCAUUUUUGCUUAGAGCAUGCCAUUUUGCAUAUAGUAGCACUUGUACACAUUAGGCCAACAAAUUAUCAUAAAUUUUCUGUUAUACAAUUAGUCUAUGGUUAUGAACCAAAUAUUUUCCUUCUAAGAAUUUUUUGAUGUAUGGUAUAUGUCAUAAUUGCUCCACCACAACGCACAAAAAUGGAUCCUCAAAUGAGAUUAGGAAUAUAUAUUGAAUACAAAUUUCUAUCUAUAAUUAUAUAUCUAGAAGUAUCAACAAGAGAUUUAUUUAUAACAAAGUUUACAGAAUAUUGUCAUUUUGAUGAAACAGUUUUUCCAACACUAAAAGGAGAAAAUAAGUAGUUGAAAAAAGAAAUUUCUUAGAAUGCAUUAUCCUUAUCUAGUUUUAAUCUUUGAACAAAUUAAUGUGAACUUGAAGUUCAAAAGAUAAUUCAUUUGCAAAAUAUAGUAAAUCAGUUACCAAACGUAUUUACUGACCUAAAGUGAAUUACUAAAUCUUAUAUACCAAUUGUAAAAGCUCUUAUUAGAAUUGAUGACCUUAUAAAACAAUGCACGCCAAAAGCGUGGAAAAUCAAUCAGUUUUGAAGAUAAAAUCCUUAAAAAAGAAAAAGAACAAAUAUACAAGAUGGUCAAAAAGAAGAAAUAGAAACUCUAAAAGAAACAUCUGAUAUAAUUGAUAAAAUUUCAAAAAAAUUCAAAUACUUAAAAUCAUCGAAAAUGAAGAGAUCUCAACAAAUUAUGUCAUUACGGGAAAAGAUGGAACCAAAAUGAAAUAAACAUCAAUGAUAUUUUUGCAUAUAAUGUAGUGCUCAACAUUAUAGAAGAAAAUGAGGAACUUGAAUCUACAUCUGUUGAAGAAUGUAGACAUAGAAAUGAUUGACCAAUGUGGAAAGACGCAAUUAAGGUGAAAUUGAAUUCAUUUGCAAAAUGUGAAGUUUUUGAACCUAUAAUCCGUACAUCAAACGAUGUAAAAUCAGUGAGAUAUAAAUGAGUAUUUGUGUGAAAACGAAAUAGAGAAAAAUGAGAUUGUGAGAACUAAAGCAUGGUUUGUUGCAUAAGGUUUUACCUAAAAAUUGGUAUUGAUUAUGAAGAGACAUAUUCUCCUGUAGUGGAUGUAAUUAUAUUUCGAUUUUAAUUAGUCUGACAAUACAUGAGAAGCUUGAAAUAUGUCUGACGGAUAUAGUUAUAGCCUAUUUAUAUAGCUCACUUGAUAACAAUAUUUUUAUGAAAAUCGUUGAAGGAUUUAAGUUGCCUGCAGUACAAAAUUUAAAUUCUUGAAAAAUUUAUUCGAUCAAAUUAAAUAAAUUUUUAUAUGGAUUAAAGUAAUUCGGACGCGUGUGGUAUGAUCGCUUUGUUGAAAGUAGGCUAUAAAAAUGAUUCUAUAUGACCAUGAGUUUUUAUAAAAAGAUUUGAAUGUGAAUUUGUGAUAAUUGCUAUUUAUGUUGAUGACUUAAACAUUAUUGGAAUUCUUGAAUAGUUAUCAAAAGCCGUGGAUUACUUAAAGAAAGAAUUUGAGAUAAAAGAUUUAUAAAAAAUAAAGUUUUGUUUAGGUCUUCAUAUUGUACACUUAGACAAAUAAAAUUUUUGUCCAUCAAUCAAAGUAUAUGGUAAAAGUGCUAAAACGAUUCUAUAUGAACAAAAGCACAUCCAUUGAGUUCACCAAUGGUUGUAAGGUCACUAGAUGUAAGAAAAGACUUUUUCUAACCUCAUGAGGAUGAUGAAAAGUUUCUAGGUUCUGAAGUAUCAUAUCUUAAUGUAAUUGAAACACUAAUGUAUCUGACUAGCAAUACAUUAUUUGAUAUAUCAUUUGUUGUAAAUUUAUUAGUAAUAUAUAAUUUUUCUCCAACUCGAAAAGAUUGAAAUGGAAUUAAACAUAUAUUUCGAUAUCUCUGAGGAACAAUGGAGGCAUAUUUUUUAUACAAUAGACAUUUAAGGGAGAGUGUUAUGAAUAUAUGUGUAAAUAUUCAUUAUGUUAUAACCUAAGAGUUUAGACUAGGUCAGGUCGCUCAAACAGACCAAACAACCCAACAAGCUAGACAUAAAAGUGUUAUAUGAUUUGAACUCUUAGAUUUGAUUAUAUAUAUCUAGAUUUAAAUGUAGAUUAAAUUGGAGUAAGAUUAAGAUUUAAUCCAUUCAAAUAUAAUCUUUUAAUAUUAUCGUUAUCUUAUAAAGGGUUAAUAUUAACCUAUAAAUAAGCCCUUUACUUCAUUUGUCAAUAUAUAUUUUCGAAUAAUAUCAUUUUAUUUUAUUAAUUUUUUUAAUAUUUAUUUUGUCAAAUUAUAUUUCACAACAUGAUAAUUAUAAUAGUAUUACAAUGCAAUACAUUUUGUUCUUGUAUGGUUUUGAAUAAAAUGAUACGUAUAAAUUUGAUUAUGCGUCGGAAAGAUAAACAUCCAUCAUUUUUCAUUUCUUGUUUCGUUGCUGCUUAGUUUUAGAUAAGGACGGAGCUAAACAUUUUUGUCUCCCUUCUGACAGCUAAAUGUUAUAAGAAAAGUAAUUCGCUUAAAACUUUUAAAUUUCUUCCGUUGUUAGUAUAUAAUUGACGAUGUUAACUAAUUUUUGGUAAAAAUAAUUCCUUUUUUUUUUUUCCAAAUUAGGCUUUUCAUUACAUAUGAAAUAAAAAGUUUCCUCAAUUAAUAGCGAUGACAGUAUUACAAUUCGAUACGUUUUGUUCUUGUGGGGAACUAAUACAGUAAUACACUAUGGUUUGAAUAAAAAAGAUAUGCACAAAUUAGGUUCUGCUUUAGAAGAUAAAGGUCAUUUCCUUUUUUUCAAGAUAUAUGAAAUCUCAAUAGAUUAUGGGUAAUAAAUAUUCUUUUCAAUCUUAUAAAUUUUUUCGUUCUUGUGUUGAGAUUCGAGAUUUUAGACUUAAUUAAAUUACAUUGGUCAUUUAAUUACCAAUUCUUUAUACAAUAAAUCUAUAAUCUCAUUGCUUAAACUAUUUCUAGUUUGCAACCGACUAUAUAUAUAUAUAUAUGUAUUAAGUGUUGAUAACCCGAUAUUUCAUACUACAAAGGGCGGUAAGAGUGGUGGAGAAACAUGGCUAGUAAGCCAGGCAUUCUCACCGAUUCGCCAUGGCAGUCUAUUGGGUACUUCAAGGUACUUCGUCUCCCUCUUUUCUUUGAGUCACAGUUAUGCACGUACCUACAUGCACUUUAUAUAUGUCAAUAUGCAUAAUAAUAUAUAAUCACACAGGUGUUUUUUACAAAUAAUCAGAUGAUUUGAGGGUUGUUAUUUUUUUACGAAAAUCAUAAAGUUAAGCUUUUGUUGCUUCUUUUUCUUACGUUGAUCUGCUUUAAAAACUUAUACUUCAUGUUUAAGCAAUUGCUCAUGGACUUGUAUCUAUCCUUUUGUUGUUGAAUCAAAUCCUUUCUUAGGCCUGUUUCAUUGUUUCUAAAGAGUUAUGAAAUAUGUCAAAGGAUGGGAAAUAGAGUACAAUGUGAAAGUUGAAGUGUCGACUUAUUGACUAAUGCAGAACUGAAACUUUCGGUAGAAAUGCUAUUUUCCGACAUUGAUUGUGAAUGAAUUUUGGCAGUAUGCUCUUCUGGUCCCUGGGGCUAUUUACAGCACAUACUCCUUCAUAACCACAGCAGAAAAUGAGAGGAACCUGUUCAUGUUCCUGGUCUUCCCAUUCCUCUUGUUUAGACUCGCUCACCACCAGCUAUGGAUUUCUGUCUCUCGCUACCGAACUGCCAAAGGAAACAACAGGAUUGUUGACAAGAGCCUCGACUUCGAGCAAGUUGACAGAGAAAGGAGCUGGUUAGCUCUCUCAGCUACCACCUUUUUUUUGCAGACUAUCAUUCUCUCUCUUCUUGCUUUCAAUUCUGGGAAAUCAUUCAAACUUCCUCUCAAAUUUUUUCAAGUAAUUUUUCAUUUAGGUAAAAGGUCAUCAACGGCUGUUCUAAGAGAUUCUUUUUGGAAGCCUCAGACCUAUAAAAUCCGUAUAUUAGCUUUCUACUCACGUUUGAUUUAUGUAAAUCUUACAGAUUCAGUCCAAUAGCUAGACCGUUGUAACUUGGCUGUUUCCCUCUUUGGCAUUUUCCUCCAUGCUGACUUUCAGUACACCGAGUCAUCCCAGUCAAAAUUAAAUAAAUUUAAAACUAAUGUUAUUGAUGACGUACAUUAAUAAGAAAUAAAGAAUGAAUUAUGUGCUUUCUUGGCGCAAGGUCCUUAACCCUGUAUUCUGAAUUGUGUUGGAUGUUUUGGCAGGGAUGAUCAGAUGGUAGUGAACGGAAUUUUGUUCUACGCGGCGGGCGUAGUAUUAAGAGAUCAGUUCAACAUGCCCUUCUUUAAGGCAGAUGGCACAAUAAUCACACUGUUACUUCACUGGGGUCCUUUAGAGUUCGUCUACUAUUGGCUUCACAGGGCAUUGCACCACCAUUACCUCUACGCUUGUUACCACUCCCAUCACCAAUCUUCCAUUGUCACCGAGCCCAACACCUGUAAGCCAAUUAACCAUUCAUAUGCCUACAAUUUGGAUAAAAACAUCAUUUAAUUUUUGAAGAUCAGACUGUCAGGAUAAGAUGUACCGUAUUUCAUAAAAGUCAUAUAUUUGAGAUUUAUAUUUGUAACGAUUUUGAAUUUUUAAUGUAAGAGGUGCUAAUUUGUCUUAAUUUCAAAGUAUUGAGGUAGAAAUAAAAAUAAAAUUUUUUGACUUCCUUAGGUUACCCUUCUAAUGUAUGCAAAUAUUUUUGUUUGGCAGCAUUUGUGCACCCAUUCGCAGAAGUACUUUCCUAUUAUGUGCUCUUUCUGAUACCAAUAUCGACAUCGAUAUACAUCGGAAAAGCUUCCAUCAUCGGAGUGUUUACUUACUUUACUGUUAUUGAUUUCUUGAACAACAUGGGACACUGCAACUUUGAGUUCAUCCCGGAAUGGGCCUUCACCAUUUUCCCUCCUCUCAAGUACAUUGUGUACACCCCAUCGUAAGUCUCUUGCUUUACUCCUUUCUUCUCUAGUACAGAAGUACCUAGUUUUCUCCUUACAAAUUUGUUUAUAAACAAAAUCCAAGUAAAAUUCAUGAAUUUUGUCUAUUACGAGGAAAGAUAAAACGAAACAUACAAUAUCUAGAUUAAUUAAUGUUUGUUUAUAUGUACUUAGGUAUAUAUGUGGGUAAAUUUCUAAUCAUCAUUCUAUUUUAUGACAGGUUUCACUCUCUACAUCACACUCAAUUUCGGACCAAUUACUCCCUAUACUGUCCAUUCUAUGAUUAUGUCUAUGGCACCGUGGACAAGUCGACAGAUACUUUGUAUGAAACCACGAUCAAGAGAGAGGCAGAGUCACCUGACGUGGUUCAUCUAACUCAUCUAACCACGCCAGACUCCAUCUACCAUCUGCCUCUUGGGUUCCCUUCAUUGUCCUCCAAGCCCCAAGCUUCCAAAUGGUACCUCCUGUUUAUG
rnacentral:lncRNA from 1 species